rnacentral:misc_RNA from 1 species
AAUUAUAGAGUCUUCAAUCUUCUGUAGACAACUACAAUACAGAAGAAAACCAGCCAACUCUUGCUUGCACCACUUAAAAUCCAGAAAUGGAACCAACCAACAACAUUUUUUUUUUUGCUAGCAAAAAAGCAGAGUUGAUUGCAAACGUACUGCCUUAUUGUAUUUACAAAGCAUAUAUCUUCUCCAUAUCAGAGUUGUAGUCAUCAAUAUCUGAUAUGUUUGCCGAGUACACAGACCAUGAGAAAGACUUACUGCCACUAGCCCUUUUUAUGCGCCUCUGUGAAUCUCUAGACACUCCGAAAUGUUGUCGGAAAACAAAGUAGCACAUGCUUGCAAGUGUCCCAACAAGAAUUGGUGCACCCAUUAAGGUUAUUGUUAUAGCCAUCCAGGAACUGCCUUUUCCCACUACCACAAAAGCUACAGACAGA